ensembl:lncRNA
CUUUGCAGCAGGGUAGGCUGGGGAAUUGAUGCAAAUAGAGGGAAAGUCCUGGGGUUUCUUGAGCUGCUUGACCAACACAGGGCUGCCUGUUUCCAAACUCUCUAGUGGCUCUGAGCCCUGUGACCCAGCCCUAAGCACUCUGGCCCUUAACCAGCUGCUGCUUCAGGAUUGUUUGCUGCUUCUGUGUGUGUCUGUCUGUCUGCUUUUGAGAUGAAUCCCUGCUCGUUCACUUUUGGCAUUGUGAGAGCCCAACACACAUCUCCUUGGGAUUGUGUCUCCUGUGCUGGUGUCCAUGGCUCUGGUUGACAUAGAUUGUGGGGAGACAACAGGUGGUGCUGAGUUUUGCAGCCUGGAUGGCAUAUCUCCUGGCAUCUCCUCCUUUCUUCUUCUCAGAGCUCUCUCUGCUCGGAAGUCCUGCCUAUACCUCCUGCUUAACUAUUGGUUGUUCGGCUUUUUAUUGCACCAGUUAUAACAAUACCCGUUCACCCAGUGUACAGAUAUCCCUCAACAGAUGUGUUCAAGACCCUCCUAUGGGCUCUGAAGCCUCUGACACAACAGUUAGACCCAUAGAGUGGCUUAAGAGACCCUUCUGCUUUGGGGACCCACACAGAUUCCUCAGUGCCUUCAACAACAUUUUCCACCUGUAGUUAUGAAUAACUAAAUUUUUUUGAUUGGGUCUUCUUUCUUCCUUAACACCAUACUUCUGGAAAGAAAACUCAACAGAGUGACCAGUUUCCCUGAAAUAAGGACCUGAAGGGACAUGUAAAGCCAGGUUGCUCUCAGCCUUGCUUGGCCGCCAAAAGUAGAUCUUGAACUUGGGAUCUUCUGGCCUUAGAAGACGUUGUGGUGCGCACCUGUAACCUUGCAGUGAGGGGCUGAUGCAGGAGGAUGCUGGUCCAAGGCUUUACUUUGAACUACAUGAGACCCUGCCUCACAAAUGGAGGAAGAGAGAAGAGAAGAAAAGAGAGAAGAAAGAGAAAAAAUGGAAGGCUACUUGGGUUAAAAACCAAAGACCCUUUCAGUGAGAUGUGAAGAUAUUAUAGAGAGGCCAAGAGUCUAGACCCUGCACUUGGGACAGUUUACUCUCACUCCUACUACUUAAGGGAAAGAAGCAAAGCAAAAGAGGUCUUCCAUUUGAUGGGAAAUAGACAGCUGGGACCAUGGCUGCCGCAGCCUCCAGGAAGCAACUGUGCAGGGCAGUGCUGUGUUGGAAAGACAGGGCCAGCUAUAGGAGUUGUAAAUGCUUUAAUAGCCACAUUUAAGAAAUGGGUAAAUAAAAAGAUAAACCUAGCAUGAUGGCACACCCUUGUAACCCUAGCACUCAGGAAGUGGAGGCAGGGGGAUCAGGAGUUCAAGGACAGCCUUGGCUGCAUAUCCAUUUAAGGACAGUCAGGGCUACAUGAGACCUUGCCUCAAAACCCCUAAAAAAUAGAAUAAAAUAAACAAUUAAGAAAUAGGUAGGAGGGCUGGAGAGAUGACUCGGUGAUUAAGAUCACUUGCUAUACAGUCAUGAGGACAGGUGGCAGGUACGUGCCUGUCACUCCUGCUCUAGAGGGG